UCCGCUAACGAGCGCAACCCCCGUCGUAUGUUAUAUGUGUCAUACGAGACUGCCGGUAAAAAGCCGGAGGAAGGUGAGGAUGAUGUCAAGUCAGCAUGACCUUUAUAUCCAGGGCUACACACACGCUACAAUGGUCUGUACAAUGGGUAGCCAAGCCGCGAGGCGGAGCCAAUCCUGAAAGCAGGCCUCAGUUCAGAUUGCAGUCUGCAACUCGACUGCAUGAAGCCGGAGUUGCUAGUAACCGCAGGUCAGCAAUACUGCGGUGAAUACGUUCCCGGGUCUU
rnacentral:rRNA from 1 species